AUUUGCCUGUACAUUUUUUAUUUAUUUUGAGCGAAUUUGAGUCGUGACAUGUCAAUGGAGAACAAAAACUGUGAACACAAGAAGGGUCAGGUGUUCUGCGAGGUCCUGAAAACAUCCUGGCAAAAUGAGAGUCAUCGAGGAUCCAGCUUGUUCUUGAAACAUUGAAGUUUGCACUCUGCAAGUGAACGACGCCUUGUGGUGCCAUCCCAAAGAGGUUCAUAAUCACUCUAAAGGACCUUUUCCUGGACUGUG